AACGAACGCUGGCGGCAGGCUUAACACAUGCAAGUCGAACGCCCGUAGCAAUACGGGAGUGGCGGACGGGUGAGUAACGCGUGGGAACGUGCCCUGAGGUACGGAAUAACUGCGGGAAACUGCAGCUAAUACCGUAUGAGCCCCUUACGGGGGAAAGAUUUAUCGCCUUAGGAGCGGCCCGCGUCGGAUUAGCUAGUUGGUGGGGUAACGGCUUACCAAGGCUUCGAUCCGUAGCUGGUCUGAGAGGACGAUCAGCCACACUGGGACUGAGACACGGCCCAGACUCCUACGGGAGGCAGCAGUGGGGAAUCUUGCGCAAUGGGGGCAACCCUGACGCAGCCAUGCCGCGUGAAUGAUGAAGGCCUUAGGGUUGUAAAGUUCUUUUGCCCGUGACGAUGAUGACGGUAACGGGAGAAUAAGCUCCGGCUAACUUCGUGCCAGCCGCCGCAGUAAUAC
rnacentral:rRNA from 1 species